CCCUUAGAUGUUCUGGGCUGCACGCGUGCUACACUGAUUAUUUCAACAAGUGUUUUAACUGGAGAGUUCGCGUAAUCCUGAAAUGUUAUCGUGAUGGGAGUAGAGUAUUGUAUUUGUUAAUCUUUAACGAGGAAUUCCUAGCAAGUGUAGGUUUAUAAGUUGUUCUGAUUACGUCCCUGCCCUUUGUACACACCGCCCGUCGCUCCUACCGAUUGAGUGUUCCGGUGAAUAAUUCGGACUGCAGCAGCGUGGGGACUCCUCAUGCUGCAGCGGAAAGUUUGGUGAACCUUAACACUUAGAGGAAGGAGAAGUCGUAACA
rnacentral:rRNA from 1 species